UACGUAGGGCGCAAGCGUUGUCCGGAAUUAUUGGGCGUAAAGAGCUCGUAGGCGGCUUGUCACGUCGGUUGUGAAAGCCCGGGGCUUAACCCCGGGUCUGCAGUCGAUACGGGCAGACUAGAGGUAGGCAGGGGAGAGCGGAACUCCUGGUGUAGCGGUGGAAUGCGCAGAUAUCAGGAAGAACACCGGUGGCGAAGGCGGGUCUCUGGGCCGAUACUGACGCUGAGGAGCGAAAGCGUGGGGAGCGAACAGG
rnacentral:rRNA from 1 species